rnacentral:rRNA from 1 species
CAGUUCUCAUGGAGCCAUCCUUGAAAUACCACCCUGGCAACUUUGAGGUUCUAACUCAGGUCCGUUAUCCGGAUCGAGGACAGUGUAUGGUGGGUAGUUUGACUGGGGCGGUCUCCUCCCAAAGAGUAACGGAGGAGUACGAAGGUGCGCUCAGACCGGUCGGAAAUCGGUCGUAGAGUAUAAAGGCAAAAGCGCGCUUGACUGCGAGACAAACACGUCGAGCAGGUACGAAAGUAGGUCUUAGUGAUCCGGUGGUUCUGUAUGGAAGGGCCAUCGCUCAAC